GGGGGGGACACACACCCCUAGAUUGGCUAACUAUGUAAGAGCAAUUUUAAUGAUUCCAUUUCUUGAAUUCAAACCAAUAAGACAGUACAUGUUGACCUGCAAUACCAACUACCCUGUUGUUUUGUAGAAUAAUCCUCAGACUUCUCCUCUACCCAUAAUGCAAUGGGAACAACAUAACCCAAUUUAAUUUUACUCCCUGAUCAUGCAAUACAGCUUUAUUUGUCCAUUGUGAAACAGACAAAUGCAAUGUUUCAUCCAACCUAUAUUUGGUGUUUGGUUUGUACAUUACUGUACCCACAUUUGCACAGGAUUGAAAGAAUUAGCGAAAUCUCAAUUGGCAGAACCAAGCCAACACAUACUGUAGCUGCUAAAACACGAGGAAGACACUUGUUCUGAAUGAUUAAUAUUACAUAUUUAAAUCAUGAAGGUUUUAUGUAUUGAGAUUUGAAAGGUGACAUCUUUAUUACAUUUUAAAAUAGCUGUAUAAAGUUAUAAUGCAAUGUGAGAAAGUUCUGGAAUCGUUACAUCUUUGUAUCUGCUGUGUAGUUCAAUAUAUUUGAGGUGAUUUUGCUUUGGGUUAUUGGCUAAUAAAUCAACUUGUUCCUUUGAUAAUAUAUAUAUAUGAGCAGAAAACUUAUCAAAGGAACAAGUUGAUUUAUAUAUAUAUAUAUAUAUAAUUAUUGCAUAAGAGUAGAUUUUAUUUUGUUAAUGUUCAGAAAAACAACUUGAUACAAGAAUGUAAAAUCAAACCUUAACAGAUGAAUGGUAAAUAAUGUGACAUUAUCAGUCUGUCAUCUUUAAAUAAAGGUUGCAUAUUACUGCAUUACAGAGAAAUCUUCAUAAAUAUAAACAUCUCAACUUCAGAUUCUGUACAGGAAGUUUCCCUCAGAAGAAAAUAACUAUUUUCCAUUCUGUAGCACAGGCCAGGGCUUUGUAGACCGCAUUAGUUCCUCCAGUUCUUCAUCUGAUAACACUGUUCACAUCCCAUCUCUUCAUCUGCUCGUCUUUCUCCUCAACCUUCUCCGACACAUUGUCCUCUGGAUCUUUCUCAUCUUCCUCCUCCCUAGAGUUUUUUUGUCCUGAGGUGCAUCUGCUGUGCAGGGUGGGUAGUGAGGCCAGAGGAGCGGGGCUGUUUCCAAUAGUCAUGGGUCUAGGGCAAUCCUCCCCUCCUUGGGUAUCAGACUCUGGCUGGUUAGGAGGACUAGGGCACCGGUGCCACUUCCGUUGGGUGGCAUGGCUGGUGUGCUACUGCUGCUGUGUCCAGAGCCAGGCAGCUGCUGCCUACCCUGUCCCACCUCCACCCCCAGGAAGGACCUGCUGCCUACCCUGUCCCCCUGUUCCUCCAUCCCCAGGUAGGGCCUGUUGCCUACCCUGUUCCUCCACCCCCAGGAAGGACCUGCUGCCUACCCAGUCCCCCUGUUCCUCCACCCCCGGGUAAGACCUGCUGCCUACCCUGUCCCUCUGUUCCUCCAUCCCCAGGUAGGGCCCGUGGGCUACCCUGUCCCGCCUCCAUCCCCAAGUAGGGCCCAUUGCCUACCCUGUCCGACCUCCAUCCCCAGGUAGGGCCCGCUGCUGCCUCCCCUGUCCCACCUCCAGGUAUGGCCUGCUCCUGCUGUCUCAGCCUGGCCCACACGCUGGAGUCCUGUUUCGCUUUCCUCUCUGGGGUGGGGGUGAACUUGCUCCGGAGGACUCUGAGGAAGAUGUCACGAUGCAAGGAGAAGCCCUCGGCCAGAUGGUCAACGGUCCAUUCCUCUGGUAGCUUCUGCUUCAGAUACCUGGGGUGCGGUCAUUGAGUCAUUGGUGUGAUCAGUC
ensembl:lncRNA